rnacentral:pre_miRNA from 1 species
AUGUAAGGCAAUGUCUUUAAAUAGGGAUAAAUUACUCUUUAAAAAAAUGAAUCCUAGAUAGUCUCCCCUUCAAGUCAAACGUCUUGU